rnacentral:rRNA from 1 species
ACGCUCGACACCUACGGGAGCAGCAGUGGGGAAUAUUGCACAAUGGGGGAAACCCUGAUGCAGCGACGCCGCGUGGAGGAAGAAGGUCUUCGGAUUGUAAACUCCCGUUGUUGGGGAAAAGAGGAUGGUACCAACAAGGAAGUGACGGCUAACUACGUGCCGCAGCCGCGGUAAUCUGAGCGGGCUGGCAAGGC